rnacentral:rRNA from 1 species
CCUACGGGAGGCAGCAGUGGGGAAUUUUGGACAAUGGGCGCAAGCCUGAUCCAGCCAUGCCGCGUGAGUGAAGAAGGCCUUCGGGUUGUAAAGCUCUUUCGGCAGGAACGAAAUGGUUCGUGCUAAUACCACGGACUGAUGACG